rfam:Microcoleus sp. PCC 7113, complete genome.
GCCGGUGUAGCUCAGUGGUAGAGCAUUCGAUUCGUAAUCGAACGGUCGGCGGUUCAAAUCCGCCCAUCGGCU